GACCAACUAAGUUUGUUAUUGGUAUGAGCUUUCGUGAAGAAGUGUGCAUGCACAUGAAAGCUCAUACCAAUAACAAACUUAGUUGCUC